CGGGGUGUAGCGCAGAUGGUAGCGCGCUUGCUUUGGGAGCAAGAGGUCCCGGGUUCAAAUCCCGGCACCCCGA
rnacentral:tRNA from 1 species